ACGGUGAAGCCAAGCUUGCUUGGUGGAUCAGUGGCGAACGGGUGAGUAACACGUGAGCAACCUGCCCUGGACUCUGGGAUAAGCGCUGGAAACGGCGUCUAAUACUGGAUAUGAGCUCUCAUCGCAUGGUGGGGGUUGGAAAGAUUUUUCGGUCUGGGAUGGGCUCGCGGCCUAUCAGCUUGUUGGUGAGGUAAUGGCUCACCAAGGCGUCGACGGGUAGCCGGCCUGAGAGGGUGACCGGCCACACUGGGACUGAGACACGGCCCAGACUCCUACGGGAGGCAGCAGUGGGGAAUAUUGCACAAUGGGCGGAAGCCUGAUGCAGCAACGCCGCGUGAGGGAUGACGGCCUUCGGGUUGUAAACCUCUUUUAGCAGGGAAGAAGCGAGAGUGACGGUACCUGCAGAAAAAGCGCCGGCUAACUACGUGCCAGCAGCCGCGGUAAUACGUAGGGCGCAAGCGUUAUCCGGAAUUAUUGGGCGUAAAGAGCUCGUAGGCGGUUUGUCGCGUCUGCUGUGAAAUCCCGAGGCUCAACCUCGGGCCUGCAGUGGGUACGGGCAGACUAGAGUGCGGUAGGGGAGAUUGGAAUUCCUGGUGUAGCGGUGGAAUGCGCAGAUAUCAGGAGGAACACCGAUGGCGAAGGCAGAUCUCUGGGCCGUAACUGACGCUGAGGAGCGAAAGGGUGGGGAGCAAACAGGCUUAGAUACCCUGGUAGUCCACCCCGUAAACGUUGGGAACUAGUUGUGGGGACCAUUCCACGGUUUCCGUGACGCAGCUAACGCAUUAAGUUCCCCGCCUGGGGAGUACGGCCGCAAGGCUAAAACUCAAAGGAAUUGACGGGGACCCGCACAAGCGGCGGAGCAUGCGGAUUAAUUCGAUGCAACGCGAAGAACCUUACCAAGGCUUGACAUACACCAGAACACCGUAGAAAUACGGGACUCUUUGGACACUGGUGAACAGGUGGUGCAUGGUUGUCGUCAGCUCGUGUCGUGAGAUGUUGGGUUAAGUCCCGCAACGAGCGCAACCCUCGUUCUAUGUUGCCAGCACGUAAUGGUGGGAACUCAUGGGAUACUGCCGGGGUCAACUCGGAGGAAGGUGGGGAUGACGUCAAAUCAUCAUGCCCCUUAUGUCUUGGGCUUCACGCAUGCUACAAUGGCCGGUACAAAGGGCUGCAAUACCGUGAGGUGGAGCGAAUCCCAAAAAGCCGGUCCCAGUUCGGAUUGAGGUCUGCAACUCGACCUCAUGAAGUCGGAGUCGCUAGUAAUCGCAGAUCAGCAACGCUGCGGUGAAUACGUUCCCGGGUCUUGUACACACCGCCCGUCAAGUCAUGAAAGUCGGUAACACCUGAAGCCGGUGGCCCAACCCUUGUGGAGCGAGCC
rnacentral:rRNA from 1 species